AUAUCCUUUAAAGCUUCCUCCAAAACCUCCUCAAAUUACUCCUCGGAUAUAAUCAGGAAAUCAUUCUUAGCUUAGUGUGGAAAAAUAGAUAAUUUCUUCAUAAAUUUGGUACGCGAAUAAAAUUUGAAUACACACCCGAAAAGAUCUGGAAGACAAACCUUUUAAAUCUCUAGUCUGAUCGACCUGAGAAUUGACAUUU
rnacentral:lncRNA from 1 species